rnacentral:rRNA from 1 species
UACGGAGGGUGCAAGCGUUAUCCGGAUUCACUGGGCGUAAAGGGUGCGCAGGCGGCCGUGUGUGUCAGGUGUGAAAGCCCGGGGCUUAACCCCGGAAUUGCGCCUGAAACUACAUGGCUAGAGCAUUGGAGAGGGUAGCGGAAUUCACGGUGUAGAAGUGAAAUGCGUAGAUAUCGUGAGGAACACCAGAGGCGAAGGCGGCUACCUGGACAAUUGCUGACGCUCAGGCACGAAAGCGUGGGGAGCAAAAGGG